rnacentral:rRNA from 1 species
GGGACAACAGUUGGAAACGACUGCUAAUACCGCAUAAGCCCACGACCCGGCAUCGGGUAGAGGGAAAAGGAGCAAUCCGCUUUGAGAUGGCCUCGCGCCCGAUUAGCUAGUUGGUGAGGUAACGGCCCACCAAGGCGACGAUCGGUAGCCGGACUGAGAGGUUGAACGGCCACAUUGGGACUGAGACACGGCCCAGACUCCUACGGGAGGCAGCAGUGGGGAAUAUUGCACAAUGGGGGAAACCCUGAUGCAGCGACGCCGCGUGGAGGAAGAAGGUCUUCGGAUUGUAAACUCCUGUUGUUGAGGAAGAUAAUGACGGUACUCAACAAGGAAGUGACGGCUAACUACGUGCCAGCAGCCGCGGUAAAACGUAGGUCACAAGCGUUGUCCGGAAUUACUGGGUGUAAAGGGAGCGCAGGCGGGAAGACAAGUUGGAAGUGAAAUCCAUGGGCUCAACCCAUGAGCUGCUUUCAAAACUGUUUUUCUUGAGUAGUGCAGAGGUAGGCGGAAUUCCCGGUGUAGCGGUGGAAUGCGUAGAUAUCGGGAGGAACACCAGUGGCGAAGGCGGCCUACUGGGCACCAACUGACGCUGAGGCUCGAAAGUGUGGGUAGCAAACAGGAUUAGAUACCCUGGUAGUCCACACUGUAAACGAUGAAUAGUAGGUGUUGGAGGAUUGACCCCUUCAGUGCCGCAG